rnacentral:rRNA from 1 species
AUUGAACGCUGGCGGCAGGCCUAACACAUGCAAGUCGAGCGAGCGGCGGACGGGUGAGUAAUGUAUGGGGACUGCCCGAUAGAGGGGGCUAACGACUGGAAACGGUAACUAAUCCCGCAUACUAUCGGAUAACCCAUAUGGGAUUAGCUAGUGGGUGAGGUAAUGGCUCACCUAGGCGACGAUCCCUAGCUGGUCUGAGAGGAUGAUCAGCCACACUGGGACUGAGACACGGUCCAGACUCCUACGGAGGCAGCAGUGGGGAAUAUUGGACAAUGGGCGAAAGCCUGAUGCAGCCAUGCCGCGUGUAUGAAGAAGGCCUUAGGGUUGUAAAGUACUUUCAGUCGGGAGGCGUUACCGACAGAAGAAGCACCGGCUAACUUCGUGCCAGCAGCCGCGGUAAUUC